CCUGUUUUACAAAAACAUGUCUUUUUGAGUUAUUUUUAAAGUCUGACCUGCCCACUGAAAUUAUUUGAAUGGCCGCAGUAUUUUAACUGUGCAAAGGUAGCAUAAUCAUUAGUCUUUUAAUUGAAGGCUGGUAUGAACGGUUGGACGAGGUAUAAGCUGUUUCGUAUAAAUUUAUAGUAGAAUUUUAUAUUUUAGUUAAAAAGCUAAAAUUAAAUUAAAAGACGAGAAGACCCUAUAAAUCUUUAUAUUUUAUAUUAUUUCAAUUUUUUGGGUUUAUUUUAUUUUAAUUAGUUUAAAUUAUUUUGUUGGGGUGAUAAUAAAAUUUAAUGAACUUUUAAUUAUUAAAAAUCAUUAAUUUAUGAAUUAUUGAUCUAUUAAUAAUGAUUAUAAGAUUAAGUUACUUUAGGGAUAACAGCGUAAUUUUUUUGGAGAGUUCAUAUCGAUAAAAAAGUUUGCGACCUCGAUGUUGGAUUAAGAUAUAUUUUAGGUGUAGCUGCUUAAAU
rnacentral:rRNA from 1 species